GAUGAACGCUGGCGGCGUGCCUAAUACAUGCAAGUCGAGCGAACAGACGAGGAGCUUGCUCCUCUGACGUUAGCGGCGGACGGGUGAGUCACACGUGGAUAACCUACCUAUAAGACUGGGAUAACUUCGGGAAACCUGAGCUAAUACCGGAUAAUAUAUUGAACCGCAUGGUUCAAUAGUGAAAGACGGUUUUGCUGUCACUUAUAGAUGGAUCCGCGCCGCAUUAGCUAGUUGGUAAGGUAACGGCUUACCAAGGCAACGAUGCGUAGCCGACCUGAGAGGGUGAUCGGCCACACUGGAACUGAGACACGGUCCAGACUCCUACGGGAGGCAGCAGUAGGGAAUCUUCCGCAAUGGGCGAAAGCCUGACGGAGCAACGCCGCGUGAGUGAUGAAGGUCUUCGGAUCGUAAAACUCUGUUAUUAGGGAAGAACAAAUGUGUAAGUAACUAUGCACGUCUUGACGGUACCUAAUCAGAAAGCCACGGCUAACUACGUG
rnacentral:rRNA from 1 species